GCGGAGGGAUCAUGGACGG
rnacentral:rRNA from 1 species